UCCCUGGUGGCUCAGCUGGUAAAGUAUCUGCCUGCAAUGCAGAAGACCUGGGUUCAAUCCCUGGGUUGGGAA
rnacentral:tRNA from 1 species